GAGUUGGUGGUGGAUGUGGCCUGUUUGUGAAAAUGCUUGGGAGAGCCAUGGAGCAGAAAGGCCAUGGAUUUGCAAAGAAAAACGAGGAUAUGGUGAUGCUUAUUACAAAAUGAGUGAAAUGAUUCUUUCAUCGCUGCAAAUUUGGGGAUUUGAAAUUCUUUAUUAAGAGCUUUAUAUCCGAGUUACCUUGCCGUGUUGGAAUCGAACAAAUAUUGGGCUAUAUUUAUUACUGACAGCUUUUUCUUCAGCUUGCACCUUAAGAGAGUACAAUAUUGAUAAUGGAACUGUGACUAAGCUGCCAUGGUGGUGUGUUGGUGCUGAC